ensembl:lncRNA
CUUAUGCUUGCCUUUUCUAAUCACGGCUAGUUGAAAUCAUGAAAAGGAUGUUUGUGUUAUUGCUGUUUGGUACUUAAUUUGAUACGGCAACCUGUCAAAAUUAUACAAAUAAUUUGUAUUUCAGGAUGACUGGCUGACAUACACAAACAGUAACAAAUCCCUACAAGCUUUUUUUUUUUCAUUGCGUGAUCUUCACUGUUCCGACGGAGACUCUUUUUCAGAUUCCCGAUAGGUUGUCUUUUCAGUUCUUGUUCAGACUACUUUUGCAGUACCUUUCUCCUUCCCUGUUUCAUUUUAGUCACUAUAGGGCUGAAAUUUGAAAAAAAUAUGAAGUUGCUGCUUUAAAAAAAAAAAAACCCAGCUCAGGUUGAAGCAAUCAAGGCACAGCCAAUGAGGAACCGCGCUUAGCUACUAUAAAGGGGAAAUGCCUGCCCACCCAUGAAGGGAGUUUGCAGCAAGAGUUCUGGACAGAGCUGUGUUGAUGCAUCUUCUUUGUAUGCUUCGGUGAGCUGGAAACAGAAACAUGAAGAAAGCAUUCUGAAGCAUUGGUGGAGUAGCCUGGCUUGUUGAAUGAAGUACAUAAAAUCCAUGCUUCUAUCUCGAUACUGAAAGGUGUCCCUCACUUCAGUUCUCAUUCUGUAACACUGAAGCAUUGUCUUGAGAACAACUUGAACAUUUCGUUCCUGUUAUCUGUGUCGAAAUCUCCAGAUCACCCCAAACCUCAUAUACUUGCAUAAAAUAAGUGGUGACAGAAGGAAGAGACUGAGAAUUCAGGUGGAGAGAAGAGAGGCAGUUCUUUAGAGUGAGAGAUACGGUUCUAUGGCCAGUGUGAAAAAAAAAAAAAAAACAAAACAAAAAACAGAGAGAAAAUAAAAUUUUCCUCCUAUCUCUGUUCCACUCUCAUUUUAAUACAUCUUCAGACUAAAGCAGUGACAUCUCAUUUUCGACUGAAGACGUUUGGAAAUGGAUCUCCUAAAAAGAUGUCAGCAAACAGGCAAAUAAACACAGAAUGCAUAUCUAAGCUACUGGAUGUUUACAAAAGGUACUGCAGAAGGGAAAAUGUACCAGAUGAAAUGGAAAUUAUUUCAUGAAUCACCUCACGAUUUCACAGAAAUAAGGGAAGUAUUAUUACUGAUUAUUCUCCAUAAAACAAGUUUAAAAACAUACCAUCGUCUAAAAAGGAAAAGUGAAAGGUUUCUAAAUUGGAUAUUUCAAUAUUGCUAAUGAGAACGAAGUGAGCUGAUGAAUGUUGAAUCAUUCCUUGACAGUUUUUAAACAAAUAUUAUCAUUCAUUCUCUUUCCUGCAUCGACAGAUGAUGUUUCUUGUUCAAAUGAGGCUUCCUGACUUUUGAUAAAGGCUGCUGAAAAUAGCACUCCCCUUCCCAAGCUGUAUAUUCACCUCUAGCAUAUACUGACAUACUGACAGGGAAUGAAAAUUUGGGAUGCUCUGCAGUGUUCUGCCCUUUCAUGAAGGGUUUGUCUUGUGUGUGAAGUAUGAUGUACACCAUGGUAUCACUAUAUCACAUUACCCGGUGAUGAAUUUAGAAGCUGCCACUGCUGUCUAAUUCAGCAAUCCAUUUUGAAAUUGAGUAGCCUCUUCUCUCCCUUAAAAGUAGGGCAUCAUUAAAUUAAAGUAACCUAUUGUGUGCAGCAGACUAGGCAAGAAGUGGGUGAUGUUCUCCUGCCUUCAGCUGUCUGUCCCUGCCUGCUGGCUGCUUUCAAAUGGAGGAGACAAGUCUGAUGGGCUGCUUAAACUCGUUCCUUCACUUCCCUCCAUUCUUAGCCUCCACAGAGGGCAGACUUGGGACUGUAAAGAACAGCUGCUUACCUCACUGAUGCUUUAUAUACUGAUUUAAGUGUGUAUAUGCUCACUUUUAUAUCUUGUUUAUUCAUUACUGUGGAAGGCUAUAGGAAGUUGGAGGUGAGGAGAUGCUUUCCUGCAGGGGGAAAGUUGCAAGGUACAAGACUGAAAAUGGAUUUUGGAUUUGUGGAGCAGGCUGUGUGUAAGCAAAUGCACUUGGAUUCCGUGCUGGCUUUCUCCCGUUACACAGUUUUUGCAUUGUUCUUGAUCAAAAUGGAUGGAAAAUACUGAGGGUGUUCACUUGGUUUUGCUAUAAUUGCUAUAAACAUUCUAAAUAGUGCUUUGGUUAAUAGUCAGAAGGACAAAUGGGAAGGAAGCCAUCAGGUGGGUAGUCAGGUAGAGACACUUUGUUUGCGUUUACUGUAAGAGCACAUUGGAAAUAUUGUUAAUUUAACAUCAACCAUCUAAAGAUAGCACCAAUUCUAAUUUCAUCAGCAGGUGAGUGUGAAAAAUCGGCCAAUGUUUUCAAUGUAGAAGUGGAAAAAUAAAAAAAUAGAAAGCCAGUUAUGUAUUAAUUGUGAUAGAGCACUAUCUGAAUUUGAAGAGCUAGAAAUUCUGCCCAUUUCAUCGAGACUUGACCUAACAUUUCCCACUGCGAGUAGAAAAUAUUGAUAUAAUGCAUAGGAAUCAUUCUGUUUGUGGUGGGUUUUUGUGGUUGUUUGUCCUUUUCUUUCUUUCUUUUUUUUUACUAGCCGUUGCCCAUAUGGCCAGUUAAUUAUCCUUCUGCAGGCAGAAUUAUUUUAUUUAAUGAAUUUUUAAAUGUCAGUGACGUGAAAAACCAUUACUGUGGUUGUAAGUCCAUUACUCACCUUCAGCUUCUAUUUCCCAUCACCCCCCACUUUAGCUUUAAGGAGCAUCUGAAGUGACAGAGCUUUGAUUUCAGUUGAGAGUGCUGAGCACAGAAGUCUUACAAGUAAUACAUUAUUAAAAAAUCGUAGCAAGAAAAUUAAUUUCUACUAUCGUAUGCCAUGCUGGGUAUAUCACUUCUAACAAAUGACCUUUUUUUUUCAUAUAUUCAUUGGUAGAUUUACCAGGACAAAAUAAUUACUUUGUUUUCCACCUCUAAGAAAAAAAAAAAAGUCUUUUUCUUGUGCGUGUGUGGUUUUCUUGUUUUGUUUUUAAUUGAAAUAAGUACACAAAAUGGGUUCUAUAAGAUAAAAAGAAAAAGGAAAGAAAAAAGAAGGAACUGGAAAACCACACAGAAAUGAGGCACUGGCUCCCUGUCAUGUUGUCUGGUCAGUAAUAUUUCUUACUGUGAAAUUCCUGCAUGUUCGCAUGUUCAUGUUUAAAUCCUCCCAGAGAGAUUUUGCAUUGGAUCCUAGUUGAACUCAAGAAGGUAGAUGGUUAUGCGGUUUCUCAUAUUUCUUGCUUUUGAGAGGAACGUCUGUUUAUCCAGAGAGCCUUAUCUGGGCUUGGCGACGAGCACAUUCCGCAGCCAGAAGAAGGACCAGACAGCUAUACUCUGGACCACCUCAUUUCAGAAUUCUGCUUGAAGCACACUAAAGACUUCAGUGAGACUUUCUGACAGCGUGUGGUAAUGAAACUACCCCAUAAGGAGAUGAAAAACAAGAUAUACUCAAUGGGAGGAGCACAUGCUUGUACUUAAAUUCUUCUGUUUCUCCUUCAGUCAGAUGGGCAAAGGAAAAUGCUGUCCUAUCCCAAGAAAUGCAAAGGCAUAAUCAAGUAUGUCUGUGCCUCUCUUGCCAUUUUGAUAUUGGGAACUCAUCCAGCUGUGAACCAAUAGUCUUAUAUGGAAGAUCAGAACUGCUGCUCCUUCGCUUCUUGAUGUAGGAUCUCUCUAUACACAAGCACUGUGCGCGAGUCUUCCCCUUAAAACUUUGAGCACUGCAUAAAUUCUGCUGGUCAAGAGGCUCAGACUGUGAUUUCAAAAGGAACUCCCGUAUUUGUCAACACGUAGCUGAUGAAUGCUCACAGCUAAGAAGUGGUAUUGUGGAUCCCUUUCAUGACUUAUACCUAUAUUUAGUAAGUAUGGAUGACUAACUAAUCCUUUACUGGGAGCAGCUACUGCAAAAUGUAAGUAAGUGCAGAAAUCACCAUCACUGAAUAAAUACUGUGUUGAGUACAGGACGUGUCUUGCAUUAAUAUUUUUGGCCAUUAGAAAUAUUAGAGCAACAGUAGGUUUUAUCACUAGACUGGUUAUGUGUAACCUGUGUCACCUUCCUUUCUUAUCUUUAAAAAUUUCAAGAUGUGAUUUUAUUUCACAGCUGUGAUAACUGCAGAAUAAUCACACCAAUCACCAAGUUACUUGAAAAUAAGUAAGUAACAACAUGAGACAAACCUUAUCUUUACUACAAAGGCAUGCACAAGUUGCUCUAAAUUCUAGCUGGCACUUUACGCACCAAAAGGCUAAGAACUAUUCAAUCACCCUGCUCUUCCAGAACUUCCUUUACUGACUAAUAUAUUCUGGAGAGGUACCUGUGGGAGGAUUGGAGUGAGCCACUGCCUGCAGAGCUAAAUAACAAGCAUGAACACAAGGUACUCACCUAAACAUCCUCCAUGAAAAUGCAGCUGACACACUUGAGGGACGGGAUGCCAUUCGAAAGAAGCAUGGUGAGCAGGGCCAGGGAGAUGGUCCUGUCCUCUACUCUGCGCUGGCAAGGCCUCACCUGGAGUACUGGGUCCAGAUGUGGCGUCCUUUGUACAGGAGAGGCACUGACCUGUUGGAGUGCAUCCAGAGGAGGGUCACAAAAAUGAUCCAAGGGAUGGAACACGUCUCCUAAGAGGACAUGCUGAAAGAGCAGGGGCUGUUCAGCCUGGAGAAGAGAAGGCUCCAGGGAGACCUGAGAGCAGCCAUUCAUAUCUAAAGGGGAGCUACAGGAAAGAAGGGGACAGACUCUUUAGAAGGGUUUAUUGUGAUGGGACAAGAGGAAGUGGUUUCAAGCUAUAAGGGGAAGAUUUAUACUGGAUAUAAGGAAGAAGUUCUUUGCAAUAAGGGUGGUGAGGCACUGGAACAGGUUGCCCAGAGAGGUGGUGGGAGCCCCAUUCUUGGAGACAGUCAAGGUCAGGCUGGAUGGGGCUUUGAGUACCCUGAUCUAGCUGUAGCUGUCUCCGUUCAUUGCAGGGGUGUUGGACUAGAUGGCCUUUAACGGUCUCUUCCAGCUCAAAAAAAUCCAUUAUUCUGUGAUUUUCACCCAGCCUAGUAUCUUUCCUGACAGGCUGUGUAGCCCGGCAGAUAAAGGAAGCAAAAUUAUCCUUCUUGAAUGUUAGCUCUUGCUUAGCAUCUUGGCAAAACCAGUUGGCAAAUAAACCUUUGUUUGACCUUGGUAUGUUUCUCUGGAAGCUCUGUUUUUCUCCUCUGCACUCCCUUCUUUAAAUAGAAAGAGAGGUCUCGGACCAACAGAGCGCAAAGGAGUCACAGCAGGCACAUGGGGAGGGAGUCUCUGCUUCCUCAGCUCUGGAUACAUCCCAGCCUGACAUGAUUUGUCACCUUGUGUAAUAUAAUUCAGCUUAAGAUAUAAAUUCCUGUAAGCCUUAAGCUGUGCAGCCAGAACGGUGAUAAAGUAACAGAGAAAUGAAGAUUUACAAGACACAUCUAAGGUGUAAACAUGAAUAAAAUAAUCCACACGCGUACAUAGUAAAAUGCUGUAUUCCUAUGCUUGCUUUAUAUUCCCCACACAGUUCGAAGUCUGAUUUACUGCUCCUUACUGAAAACACACUCUUGCUUGAAUAGAAACUUGCUGAAAUUUCACAAUUCUUAUCACUACUCAGGAUUGCUACAAAUUUGAUUCAGUUUGGGUUGGUUUGCCUUAGAAAUUUCUUCUGUGGGAACAGAACAUUUGCACAAGUCGUAUACCCCCCUACGUAUACCCUCCUGCAUAUACCCCCCUGCGUAUACCAUAGGGCCAUUUUUGCCGUGCCUUCCAGCGCUGGCUGCUAAAUGCAUGGACUCUCAGCUGUGACCAUUCAGUCCAAUUCUCAACAAGACCCUGCUCAUCACUGUUUGCGUAACCAGUAAGGAUUAGGUAAGAAGUUUAGAAAUACAGUUUGACUGACUGCCAAUUUUAUCUGUAUGCACCGUUUGUAUUUACUACUGAUUCAGUCUCAGUAACACAGCUGUGGAGUGGCACCUGGUAACACCAACACUGGAAACAGGAAGCGAAAGAAAUCAGAAGAAGUUUGCAUAGUUGCAUUUAUCUGGUACAUCUGAUCCAUGUUUCAGCUCCAGGAUCAGCUGAUAUUCUCAGUUACAACACUAACUCUAAAUAACAGUCUUGCUGCUGUAGGCUUGUUCAGAAUACUGCAAUGCAUGAGGUACCUGGUCUCAACUGUCCUGCUAAUUAAUCCCUAACAGCUCCCCUCCAAAAAAGUAUAAACGAACAAAUUAAUUCCCUCCACAUCUCCCUUCUAUUCUCAUUUUUCCUGUUGCAAGGCUAUUGACAAGGAACUAUGACUUAUUUCACGCAUGCAAUGACAUGCUCUGAACACAUACCGAAGUUACUGUUCCAUAUAUGUCAACUCUUCAUAAAUGCUCAUGCAUCUCACUAAUAUACUGGGACUCCAGAUUAACUAGGCAAGGUAAUAUACACUUAGAAUCAAGUGAUAAUCACAACAUCUACUUGAAAAGUAUUCAUUAUGUCUCGCGCAUUUCCCAAGAUGACUCUACCUCAAGACAGUAUAGGCCGGCAUCAAGUAGAAAAACAUCAGUUGCAAAGGCUACUUACCCACACACACCUUCCACAAUAAAAUUCUUUGGCUGCAAUCUAUGUUAACAACCUGGCACCCACAGCAAGGAUCUCCAUGACAUAGGGCUUUGAGUGUAGUCUGAGCAUGCUCUGCAUCUUGGCAGUUGUUAGCAAAGGAGUUCUCUCUCAUCACUGUUAAAAAACAAAGAUUUUGUCAGAUGUCAUGAAUGUAUCAGAUCUAUACGACAAAAAACGCAAAGCAAGGCAUUUGACUUACUCGUCAUUGCAGUUCAGUAGAUAAUUGUUUUGACAGUUUGGUCCACCUGGUUAUUCCACCCUCAUGCUGGGAAAUGUGGGUAAUUAUCUGGUCUGUCAGAGGUAAAACCAUAUUGCAUCACUGAUGUAAAUACUUGUUGGUCUUUUCUGAAGACCAAUUAUUACAUCUUUUAACAUCAUUCAAUUGAAAGUGUUUCUUACGUACCUUUUAUUUGGGGAUGCAAUCCUGAGGCUCAACAGCAGUAAAUGAACGACGCUCCCUCCCACAGCAACAGAAUUCCGCAGAUUACCAUACAGGUAAUUUUUAUUGGCAUUUAAGCAUUAAAUUAACUGCUAAAGUAUGUGCCUAACAGACAAAUCACAUUAAUGAGCACAUACGCUGGCAAGAUGUCAAUGAAAGUUCAACUAAAUUACUUUGCUUAUUCAUAGCUUCAGAAAUUAGGGGCAUGAUUAAUCCUCAUGGCUCCUAGACUGCAAAUAUCAAUAAUGAUUACGACAAUAUUUUACAGCAUGCUACAAACACUUUUAAAUGAAUUUUUAUACAGUCUUUUUUUUUUUUUCCUUCUCCUGGGGAGACAAGAGGCUUUCAAUAAAGUAUUUUGACGUAUUUUUCCCAUAAUUUGUUUGUGGUACCACAUAAAUAUUCAUAAAUACAGAAAUAUGUUUUCAAGAAUUCUCACCGAACAUUUUAAGUCUGAAAUUUUGAAGUCACUCUGUUCUUUCUUUUUACCCUUCCUAGUUUCCAAUACAUUAGAAACAAAAGAGAUUAAAAGCACAGUCACUGUUCUUAGGAUUAGUAACAUCUCAUUGCCAAACAACACACGAAGCAGCUAGUCGUUGGGAGGGGAACACUUCCCAUCUCCAUAGCCACCCUGUUAGCCAGUUAGGGCCUCCAAGUACUGGAGCCACCGGCUCGAUAAGCUGUUACCAAAUACAAGAUGAAUUUCUGAUACAGAACUCUGAUAACAGUCUUGAUUAUCUGUCUCCAGGCUGGGAAAUACUGGACAUCUUGGAAGAACAGUUUUUAGCUUAGUGGUCUGCGAGCUCAUCCUCCAGCAGGGUGUCUCCCCAGGGGAACGCUGUGAGCAUUCUCCCAUUAAGACUUUAUAUGGUGGUAGAUGAAAAUGUGAAUAAAUUAUAUUACAUAAAGUGAAAUCAAAGAUACUGCUGCAGUAUAACUGCAAUACCCCAGAUAGCGCUAAGCAGCUUCUUUGCCAGUUAAUUACUUUGAGACUACAUUAACUUUUGUGAACGCUGAAGAUGUCUGUCACCAUGGCACAUACAUGUGAAAUUUGCAGACAUCUCAGAAUGGAGCAAUUAAAAAAAAAAAGCCAGACUCUUACCUUUUCCC